GCGGAGCUAGUAUUUUUCCUACUCUGUCAUGCCAGCUUUUGUAGUUGCUUCAUCUCUCCAGUGAGGGAACUUAAAGCUUGAAGUUUUGCAAAAGAAGGUGCACUGGUAUCUCGGAGUCACCUUUGACAGCCUGCCCACCUGACUUCACAAGGCUCCCCUCUGUAAGCCCUCCAUACAAACAUAAUGGCAGACCCAUGGCAAAAUGCAUAUGAUUUUGCUGUUCAAGUGGCAAGAGCAGCUGGAGCAGUAAUCAGGAAAGCCGCGGAUGAUGAAAUAAAGGUUUCAACAAAGAGCACCACCGUAGACCUCGUCACUCAGACUGACGAGAGGGUUGAGAAAAUCAUCAUCGGCUCUCUUAAAGAAGAAUUUGGAGAUGCACACUGCUUCAUCGGUGAGGAGUCUGUGGCAAAGGGGGAGCCUUGUAUCUUAACUGAUAAACCAACAUGGAUCAUAGACCCUGUGGACGGCACCACAAACUUUGUGCAUGGAUUCCCCUUCGUGGCUGUGUCUAUUGCCUUUGCUGUCAAAAAGGAGUUGGAGUUUGGUGUGAUCUACAGCUGCUUGGAGGACAAGAUGUAUAAAGCAAGGAAGGGGCAGGGAGCUUUCUGCGAUGAUGAGCCGAUUCAGGUGUCUGAUGUAAAAGAUAUCCACAAGUCGAUAAUCAUCUCUGAGCAUGGGACUGACAGGAGCAAAGAAAAAGUAACCAAGAUCUUCAACACCAUGCAGAAGAUUCUCUGCAUCCCAGUGCAUGGGCUCCGUGGGUCAGGGACAGCUGCCACCAACAUGUGUCUGGUGGCGAUCGGAGCAGUGGAGGCCUUCUUUGAGAUUGGGAUCCACUGCUGGGACAUCGCUGCUGGAGCGGUUAUAGUCAAAGAAGCCGGAGGAAUACUACUGGAUGUCGAUGGGGGAGAGUUCGAUUUGAUGUCUCGAAGGAUGGUUUCAGCAAACAACAAGGUUAUUGCGAAGCGGAUCAUCAAGGAAAUUGAAAUAUUCCCAGCGGAGAGGGACGACGCUCCGGUGCAGAAGAAAUGAGAAUAUCCAAGUGCGUUUCAAAAUGAGUGCAAGAGGAACAAGUUCCAGUCUUUCACUCUGGCUGUGAAUUCGGUCGCAAAUGAAGAACGCAAAGGUGUAGGAGCAAGCUGAGAGCCAGAACUAACAGCGACGGCGAAUGGAGCAGCAGCAGCAGCAACACAAACAGCAGGAGCAACAACAGCAGCAGCAAUAACAGCAGGAGGUUGUGGGGGGAUGAGGAGUGUUUGAACUGGUGCCUUUGAAACAUAAAAACUGCAAUUUCUUUGUAUAAUUAUGCUUCUAUACAUCUGCCACUGCUGUAGUGUAUGAUGAUGUGUGUGAUGUUUCAAUAGAGAUGUUGUUUGUCUGUCUUUCAAA